GCUAGGAUCCUGUGCUUGCCAACGGAGGAUAAUAAGGUUCAACAUAAAGAUUCAAGACCCAAAGGAUAAAGUCAAGAACGGAAGUUUGGAGUGGAAGAAUAUUACCAGAUCCAGCCAGGGGAAGAUCACUGAUCUCAACAGAUUGACCUGGCUGACCAGAAAUAUGUCGGAGUGUACGUCACCGCUACUAAUUCUGUGGGAAAUUCUCCUGUGGCAUCGUUAUUCAUCACAGCGAAAGCCCAUGAGUCAGAGCUCGCCCCGGUUGAAGAGCUGAAGGUGUUGCCCCACAGGGGCCAACUGUGGCUGGAAUGGAAACCCCCCAACAGUUCAAAGUUGGUGUCAGAGUAUGUGGUGGAGUGGGUGGGCAGUGCUCA